GUAGUAUUCCCUCCAUCCCAAAAUUCUUGUCUUACAUUUGUUUAGAUACGGAUGUAUCUAACACUAAAAUAUAACUAGAUACAUCCGUAUUUAGACAAAUUUAAGACAAGAAUUUUGGGACGGAGGGAGUACAAA
rnacentral:pre_miRNA from 1 species